rnacentral:piRNA from 1 species
UGGGAACCUGGCCUAAAUCGUUGUACCCC